GCAUCCCCCACCAGACUGACCACGGAACCCUACAUUUCUCCCUAGACUGAACAUGGAACCCUGCAUCUCUCCCCAGACUGAACACGGAAACCCUGCAUCCCUCACCAGACUGAACACAGAACCCUGCAUCGCUCACCAGACUGAACACGGAAACCCUGCAUCCCUCACCAGACUGAACACGGAAACCCUGCAUCCCUCACCAGACUGAACACGGAAACCCUGCAUCCCUCACCAGACUGAACACGGAAACCUGCAUCCCCCACCAGACUGAACACGGAACCCUGCAUCCCCCACCAGACUGAACAUGAAACCCCGCAUCCCUCACCAGACUGAACACUUAACCCUGCAUCUCUCCCCAGACUGAACACAGAACCCUGCUGUGGCAAACCUAACCACUUUAAGACUUACUGUAUAACAUCGGAAAGUUGUCUGCUUUUAUUGUAUGUAAGGAUAUAUUCAUGUGUGUUUGCAAGAAAGAGUAUUCGUAUGCUAACGGCCGAAAGCCGCUAGCAUUCAUAUGGUAGUUUCACGAACAGUGACUUUAGACACUGUUCCGGAAACGAAUAAAGUACCGAAU